rnacentral:sRNA from 1 species
UCUUAGCGGGGGGUAGUCUCGAAAGA